UCCGGCUCCCGUAGGAGUUCGGAUGAAGUCCACCUGCAGUCGGAGUUGGGGACGAAAUUCGGCUCCCAUAGGAGUCCAGAUGAAGUCUUCCUUUAGUUAAAGCUAGGGACGAAGUCCGGCUCCCGUAGGAGUCCGGAUGAAGUCCACCUGUAGUCGGAGUUGGAGACGAAAUCCGACUCCCGUAGGAGUCCGGAUGAAGUAUACCUGUUGUAGAAGUCUGUGACGAAGCCUGGCUCUCGUAGGAGUCUGGAUGAAGUCCACCU
rnacentral:lncRNA from 1 species